AACUUAAAAGCUUAUUUCUUGCCUCAGCUAUUUCUAGAAACACAUUUUGUAGAACUGUUUUAAAAGACAAAGUUCGCCAGUGAGUCACCAUGUUGGCCUGACAUUUAAAGCCGACUGGUUUCUGGUGAAGGCUCUCAAGCCCCAAGAACUGAGGGUGAAAUUGAAGCUGAUGUAUGCAGACAGGAGCCCCUAAGAUGGACACAACACCUGCCUGGUAGCUUUGAGCUCAGCACCUCCCCAGCACUAACUGCCUCAGACAGCCCCAGCCAGAGAUGAGGUUGGCACAAACAAGGGGCACUUGGUCCACAUCUGCCAACCGUCCCCAAUACAAAGCCUGACAGUUGGCAUUUCAGUGGUCCUCUAACUACUCCAUUUCUCUGGAUUUGGCUCUGCUCUCCAGGACGAAAGCAGAAGACUGGAAAAGCUUAAUCUUCAUUCAAACUGUGCAUGGAGUCAUUCGCAUGCAGGAUUACAUAUACGCCUCGGGGAGAUAUGAAUUAUUUAUUGUGAGAUGCAAGAUUUGUUGGUCGUUCAGCUCGUUUCAUGCAUGCACUGAUCAUAAAAGACCAAAUGUAUAAACUUUCACUAAUAUUUGGCUGAACAACAAUUCAAGGACAAAGACUGUCUUGUUCAUUGUUUC
ensembl:lncRNA